rnacentral:rRNA from 1 species
CGCGUAGGUGGUCUGGUAAGCGAGAUGUGUAAGCCCCGGGCUUAACCUGGGAACGGCAUUUCGAACUGUCAGACUAGAGUGUGGUAGAGGGUAGUGGAAUUUCCUGUGUAGCGGUGAAAUGCGUAGAUAUAGGAAGGAACACCAGUGGCGAAGGCGGCUACCUGGACCAACACUGACACUGAGGUGCGAAAGCGUGGGGAGCAAACA